rnacentral:rRNA from 1 species
AUGUCCGGCAUCCUGCGGCUCGCCGGCGCCGCCAGAUCCUUCUCCCGCGCGUUGGCUCCGGCCGCGCCGCACCACCGCAGGCUCGCGGCAUCGGCGGCCGCCCUGGCGGAGGACGAUGCGUGCUGGACCGAGUGGGAGGAGGAGGAGGAGGAGGCGCGGCGGCAGCGCGCCCGCGCAUCGGCGCCCGCCGCGGAGUCUUGCCCGGCGGACGGCGGUCCCAGGGGCGUGCAGUGGGUGGUGAUGGGCCGCCCCGGCCCGCAGAAGCACGCCCACGCCGCGCGCCUCGCCGAGGUCCUCGCCGUGCCGUACAUCUCCAUGGGCACGCUCGUCAGGCAGGAGCUCAGCCCCACAUCCUCGCUCUACAAGAAGAUUGCUAAUUCGGUGAAUGAAGGGAAGCUUGUGCCAGAGGAUAUCAUAUUUGGGUUGCUGACUAAGCGUCUCGAGGAGGGAUACUACAAGGGUGAAAAUGGAUUUAUCCUUGACGGAAUCCCACGUACCCGUGUGCAAGCUGAGAUUCUUGAUGAGAUCGUUGACAUCGACUUGGUUCUGAACUUCAAAUGUGCUGGUAACUGUUUCAUGAAGAAGCGAUCUGGAGGCGACAUAUGUUCCCACUGUGGGCAGCAUUUUGGUGUCAGCAGUCUGGUGUCUAGGGAGCGUAAUCUCUCCCUUGGAAGCUCUACAUGGCCUGCUCAGGCACAACAUGCUUCUGUUAUAGGCCUGGAAAACCCAAGGAUGGAGAAGCUGCGUGCUUAUGCUGAGCAGACCAAGCAGCUGGAAGAUUACUACAAGAAGCACAGGAAACUUGUGGAGUUGAAGACAUCCGCUCGCCCUGGUGAAACCUGGCAGGGGCUCGUAGCUGCCCUUCACCUCCAGCAUCUAGACCCAUCCCCAACACCACACAAACUCACCGUGUAA